GACAUUUGUAUUUAUAAGAAUGCUUCAGUUGGUUCUAAGCUCAGAUUUCUAUCAUGCAUGCCUUAAUAUCUAUAAGGAAGUAUACUUCCCCUAUGUGUUCUUGUUCCUGUUGGAGAGCCAUGGCUGGGACAUGCUUGACUGAGGACAGAGGGGUCACCUGUGUUCUAGAAUGAGAAUUGUCACCCUUGGAGACAACAGUGUCAGAAUGGAGAGUGGUCCUUCCUGAGUGAUUAUGGUGUGCCUCUUUGUCUCCUCACACUUGCAGCCCUCACUGUUCUGUGCUUUAUAUAACCUGAUGCUGCCAAGGCUAUUUGAAGUAUUUUUGCUUCAGGCCCCUUGCAGCAGUAGAUGAAAAAUUCAUUUCAGGCUCUUGCAAAACCAAAUUCCAGCAAAGAUUUUUCUACCCAAGAGGUGGCAGUUGUCCCAAUGUGCACCAACCACAGAGUGCGUUCUCUGUACAAAGAGUGAGCAUUUCCAAGCAGAUUGAAGCUAACUUUCAGUAGACUGAAGCUUUCUGACUGGAAUGCAUGGGUUUGUCUUCAUUCAGUAAGAUUGCUCUGAUAAUUAAAGGAAAUGAUGGAUGUGCCACCAAGAAUCAGUGCUCAGCAGGAAAACAUGGGCUCUUCAUUGUGGCAUGAAUGUCUACAAAUCCACAUGACCAUAGUUCCUACUCUUCCCGUAGGCUUGUAGUGCUCAGCUUUCUUCCACAGCCAGACGUCUGACUCUGGAAACCUGCUCAAUAAAUAGUCAGCUCCAGGCAAUGGGAGGUUAGAUGUCUUCAGACCAGAAGAAAUCACACCAGUAUAUGGCUGUGCAAAAGAGAAAAAGACCAAGUAACAUAUAAAGCAGACCUAUUGGAAUUAUACCUGAAUUCUCAUCUGAGAUUCUAAAAGCUAGUAGUGCCUAAGCAGUGGUCUAACAGACACAAAGAGACCACAGAUGUCAACCCAUAUUAAAAUAAUAAGGAAAACUUUCAAACACCAUAAAUAGAGAAACCAAGAUAUUCCUUGACAAAAUAGGUUUAAACAAUAUCUUUCCACUAGCUCAUCCCUACAGAGAAUACCAGAAGAAAAACUCCACCCCAAUAAAGCUAACUGCAUUCACAAAAAUACAAAAAACAAAUAAUUUCACAAUUUCACGCCAUCAAAACCAAGAGAAA